rnacentral:snRNA from 1 species
AUCAUCUCUCAGCCUUUUGGCUAAGUCAAGUGUAGUAUCUGUUCUUAUCAAUUAAAUAAAUUUUGGAAAAAUGAAUAAGUGAAUAAAUCUUGGCAGAAUCAGGAACUAUU